AACGAACGCUGGCGGCAGGCUUAACACAUGCAAGUCGAACGCGUGUAGCAAUACACGAGUGGCGCACGGGUGAGUAACGCGUGGAUAUCUGCCUUCUGGUUCGGAAUAACCCCGGGAAACUGGGGCUAAUACCGAAUGGUUCCUACGGGAUAAAGAUUUAUCGCCAGAAGAUGAGUCCGCGUCCGAUUAGCUAGUUGGUGAGGUAACGGCUCACCAAGGCGACGAUCGGUAGCUGGUCUGAGAGGACGAUCAGCCACACUGGGACUGAGACACGGCGCAGACUCCUACGGGAGGCAGCAGUGGGGAAUAUUGGACCAGGGAGGCAACCCUGAUCCAGCCAUGCCGCGUGAGUGAUGAAGGCCUUGGGGUUGUAAAGCUCUUUUGGCGGGGACGAUGAUGACGGUACCCGCAGAAUAAGCCCCGGCUAACUUCGUGCCAGCCGCCGCCGUAAAAC
rnacentral:rRNA from 1 species